CCCUUAGAUGUUCUGGGCCGCACGCGCGCUACACUGACGAAUGCAACGAGCUUAUAACCUUGGCCGAAAGGUCUGGGUAAUCUCCAAAUUUCGUCGUGAUGGGGAUAGAUUAUUGCAAUUAUUAAUCUUCAACGAGGAAUGCCUAGUAAGCGCAAGUCAUCAGCUUGCGUUGAUUACGUCCCUGCCCUUUGUACACACCGCCCGUCGCUCCUACCGAUUGAAUGGUCCGGUGAAAAUUUCGGAUACCGGCGUUGCUGGCGGUUCGCCGCCGGCGACGCUGGUAGAAGAUCUUUAAACCUUAUCAUUUAGAGGAAGGAGAAGUCGUAACA
rnacentral:rRNA from 1 species